GCCAGACGCAGUGGCCGGCGCCUGUAGUCCCAGCUCCUUGGGAGGCUGGGGCAGGAGGAGGAUCGCUUGAGUCCAGGAGUUCUGGGCUGUAGUGUGCUAUGCCAGUCGCCUGUCCGCACUAAGUUCGGGAUCAAUAUGGUGACCUCCCUGGGCCGGGGACCACCAGGUUGCCUAAGGAGGGGUGAACUGGCCCAGGUUGGAAAUGGAGCAGGUCAAAACUCCUGUGCUGAUGAGUAGUGGGAUCACGCCUGUGAAUAGCCACUGCACUCCAGCCUGGGCAACAUAGCAAGACCCUGUCUCU
rnacentral:SRP_RNA from 1 species